GUGGGGAAUUUUGGACAAUGGGCGAAAGCCUGAUCCAGCCAUGCCGCGUGUGUGAAGAAGGCCUUUUGGUUGUAAAGCACUUUAAGCGAGGAGGAGGCUACCGAGAUUAAUACUCUUGGAUAGUGGACGUUACUCGCAGAAUAAGCACCGGCUAACUCUGUGCCAGCAGCCGCGGUAAUACAGAGGGUGCAAGCGUUAAUCGGAUUUACUGGGCGUAAAGCGCGCGUAGGUGGCCAAUUAAGUCAAAUGUGAAAUCCCCGAGCUUAACUUGGGAAUUGCAUUCGAUACUGGUUGGCUAGAGUAUGGGAGAGGAUGGUAGAAUUCCAGGUGUAGCGGUGAAAUGCGUAGAGAUCUGGAGGAAUACCGAUGGCGAAGGCAGCCAUCUGGCCUAAUACUGACACUGAGGUGCGAAAGCAUGGGGAGCAAACAGGAUUAGAUACCCGUGUAGUCC
rnacentral:rRNA from 1 species